rnacentral:rRNA from 1 species
GCUCAGGAUGAACGCUAGCUACAGGCUUAACACAUGCAAGUCGAGGGGUAGCAGGGUAGCAAUACCGCUGACGACCGGCGCACGGGUGAGUAACACGUAUCCAACCUUCCCAUAACUCAGGGAUAGCCUUUCGAAAGAAAGAUUAAUACCUGAUAGUACUUAAGAAAGGCAUCUUUUUUAAGUUAAAGAUUUAUUGGUUAUGGAUGGGGAUGCGUUCCAUUAGAUAGUUGGUGAGGUAACGGCUCACCAAGUCUUCGAUGGAUAGGGGUUCUGAGAGGAAGGUCCCCCACAUUGGUACUGAGACACGGACCAAACUCCUACGGGAGGCAGCAGUGAGGAAUAUUGGUCAAUGGGCGAGAGCCUGAACCAGCCAAGUAG